UACGGAGGGUGCGAGCGUUGUCCGGAAUCACUGGGCGUAAAGGGCGCGUAGGUGGCCGAGCAAGGUCGCGGUGAAAGCCCGGGGCUCAACCCCGGGUCGGCCGUGGCAACUACUGGGCUAGAGCACUGUAGGGGCGGGUGGAAUUCCGGGUGUAGCGGUGGAAUGCGUAGAGAUCCGGAGGAACACCAAUAGCGAAGGCAGCUCGCUGGGACGGUAUUGACGCUAAGGCGCGAAAGCGUGGGGAGCAAACAGG
rnacentral:rRNA from 1 species